ACGAGUUAUCUGAACCUUCGGGGAACGAUAACGGCGUCGAGCGGCGGACGGGUGAGUAAUGCCUAGGAAAUUGCCCUGAUGUGGGGGAUAACCAUUGGAAACGAUGGCUAAUACCGCAUGAUGCCUACGGGCCAAAGAGGGGGACCUUCGGGCCUCUCGCGUCAGGAUAUGCCUAGGUGGGAUUAGCUAGUUGGUGAGGUAAGGGCUCACCAAGGCGACGAUCCCUAGCUGGUCUGAGAGGAUGAUCAGCCACACUGGAACUGAGACACGGUCCAGACUCCUACGGGAGGCAGCAGUGGGGAAUAUUGCACAAUGGGCGCAAGCCUGAUGCAGCCAUGCCGCGUGUGUGAAGAAGGCCUUCGGGUUGUAAAGCACUUUCAGUCGUGAGGAAGGUGGUGUAGUUAAUAGCUGCAUUAUUUGACGUUAGCGACAGAAGAAGCACCGGCUAACUCCGUGCCAGCAGCCGCGGUAAUACGGAGGGUGCGAGCGUUAAUCGGAAUUACUGGGCGUAAAGCGCAUGCAGGUGGUUUGUUAAGUCAGAUGUGAAAGCCCGGGGCUCAACCUCGGAAUAGCAUUUGAAACUGGCAGACUAGAGUACUGUAGAGGGGGGUAGAAUUUCAGGUGUAGCGGUGAAAUGCGUAGAGAUCUGAAGGAAUACCGGUGGCGAAGGCGGCCCCCUGGACAGAUACUGACACUCAGAUGCGAAAGCGUGGGGAGCAAACAGGAUUAGAUACCCUGGUAGUCCACGCCGUAAACGAUGUCUACUUGGAGGUUGUGGCCUUGAGCCGUGGCUUUCGGAGCUAACGCGUUAAGUAGACCGCCUGGGGAGUACGGUCGCAAGAUUAAAACUCAAAUGAAUUGACGGGGGCCCGCACAAGCGGUGGAGCAUGUGGUUUAAUUCGAUGCAACGCGAAGAACCUUACCUACUCUUGACAUCCAGAGAACUUUCCAGAGAUGGAUUGGUGCCUUCGGGAACUCUGAGACAGGUGCUGCAUGGCUGUCGUCAGCUCGUGUUGUGAAAUGUUGGGUUAAGUCCCGCAACGAGCGCAACCCUUAUCCUUGUUUGCCAGCGAGUAAUGUCGGGAACUCCAGGGAGACUGCCGGUGAUAAACCGGAGGAAGGUGGGGACGACGUCAAGUCAUCAUGGCCCUUACGAGUAGGGCUACACACGUGCUACAAUGGCGCAUACAGAGGGCGGCCAACUUGCGAAAGUGAGCGAAUCCCAAAAAGUGCGUCGUAGUCCGGAUUGGAGUCUGCAACUCGACUCCAUGAAGUCGGAAUCGCUAGUAAUCGUGGAUCAGAAUGCCACGGUGAAUACGUUCCCGGGCCUUGUACACACCGCCCGUCACACCAUGGGAGUGGGCUGCAAAAGAAGUAGGUAGU
rnacentral:rRNA from 1 species